CAUAUACAUAAAUGGGUUUAGGGUAUAGGAUUUAGAGUUUAUAAAUAGAGAGAGAAUAUGUAUAGAGAGAGAGUAGGGCUGCUGUACUUUCUUAAAUCGUUUUCGAUGAUUAAGCGUCCGAAUCGACGUCUAGUUCAGUCAGACUUGAUCUAGCAUAUUUGAAGUAUCUAGAAAAUACAUUGAUUUUUUUAUAUUAUUUAUCUAGUAAUCAAAAGGACUUCAAAUAUAUCUCACAAAAAGUGAUGAAAUGGCAUUAAAAUUUUCAAUUAGAGAUAUUGAUUUUAUUGUAGAUAGUAUAAAAAAUUUUCUAUCAAAAUUUCAUCUGGUUUGAAUAUUUCUACACGGCUAAACUUGCAAACGGCAUAUAUCAACUAUUAAAAAUUGUUCAUUUUGAACUUUUUCGAUCACUAGGUAAAUUAUUUCAAAAAAUUAUAAAAUUUAUUUUCUAAAUAAUUCAAAUAUGCUAGAUCAAGUCUAGUACAGUCGAUCGUCGAUUCACAUAGGUUAGAGAGGGACAAUAGAUUGUUGCAACUAUUUGAUCCAAAAUAU
rnacentral:lncRNA from 1 species